rnacentral:rRNA from 1 species
UACACGCUGUGACUAGCAUAUCAAUAAGCGGAGGAAAAGAAACUAACAAGGAUUCCCUUAGUAACGGCGAGUGAAGCGGGAAGAGCUCAAAUUUGAAAUCUUAAAGGUCUACCUUGCACGAAUUGUAGCUUUAAAGAAGUGUUUUCUGUGACGAUUCGUAAUAUAAGUUCUUUGGAAUAGGACAUCAUCAGAGGGUGAGUAUCCCGUCUAUGAUUGCAUAUUUGUAGCUUUGUGAUACACUUUCAAAGAGUUGGGAUUGUUUGGGAAUGCAGUCCCAAAACUGGGAGGUAAAUUUCAUUCUAAAGGCUAAAUAUUGGCGAGAGACCGAUAGCGAACAAGUACCGUGAGGGAAAGAUGAAAAGAACUUUGAAAAGAGAGUUAAAUAGUACGUGAAAUUGUCAAAAGGGAAGCGUUUAACACCAGUGUUGUUUUCUGAAAAUCAACCUCUGUUAGCUUUAUGCAUGUUUGUUUAGACCUAAUCAGCUAUCUUUCAUGUUCUAUUGUUUGCAGUGGUGCACUUUUCAGUUUACAGGUCAACAUCAGUUUUUUUUACCGUAAAAAAGUUAAAGAAAGGUAGCUCAUGGCUCCGGUCGUGAGUGUUAUAGUCUUUUUCCUAUGCGGUAGGAGAGACUGAGGUCUGCAGUGUAGGCUAUUUGGCUAGAUACUCAGGUGCUAUGUGAUACCAUUUCAUAAACAACUUGUUGAUUAUGUUUUGUCUAUUGCAUACUCGCUUGUACUAUCAUACCUACGCUUAGGAUGUUGAGUAGCGACAUACGCAC